rnacentral:lncRNA from 1 species
AUGUCCCCGGGUCCCUCGGAGCCGCGGCUUGCUGCCUCCCGCUCCCUGCCUCCCUCCGCGCCUCUCCCGGGUGCUUCCUUGCCCCUCUGUCUUGGGUGUCCGGCUCUUUUUUUUUGCAGCUCAUCCCUGGGAGACUUUUCUCCCUGCCUCAAGACAGCGUGUGAAUUGAGCAAUAAACCUCCCCAGGGCCUGGAGGGGCUCACACGCCACGCUAAAGGCAGAAGGGCAGCAAGCGGGAGCCGAAGCAGCGUGGACGGGAGCGGACAGAGCCGGCUGGCCGAGAGCAGGCGGGAUGCCCUGGUCUGCAGGCGCCCGGGUGCUUCGCGCUGCAGUUCUUGAAUAAUUAAAGGCACUUUACAUCAAGGGUGACCCAUAAAUGAAGGCAUUUCACAUAUGAAAAGCUGCAAAGGAUGGAAGACACCAGGGUAUCAGCAGUGAGCAGAGUGCAACUGAGAUAUUGUUAAUGCUACAGUAAGCUCCCUCCUUUGCGCAGCUCUACAGGAUCAUGGAAAGAGGCCAACUGCUGCAUUUCUGUGCUUUAUCUUGAUUAAACGGCUGUUUCAAUUUGGUAUUCACUCCUUUCAUAUUUGUAAUCACUAUAAGAUUUUCAUUUCAUAGUAUUCACUUAUUUAACUGCUUGUUUCCUGCCAAGUCUAAAAAAAGAAAGGCUUUCCCCUCCCUUCUCCUUUUGGAGCUGUAAUAAAGGCAGAAGAGUUUAC